UUUCUCAUCCAAAAAACUUUCCUUUAAUUUCAUACAAUAUCACAUUACAAUGUCCAUACAGAGAAAUCAUACAAAAUUACAAACAAAAUGAUUUUUGACCUACAAUUAACUUUUUGGUCAACUAGUUGACCAAAGUCAACUUAUCUAAUCCCUAGUCCUAUUUGUUGAUUUUUCAUAUGGAUUCUUCAUUCUCCAUCUUCAUGGCCAAGGUUUCUUCACUUGUAAGUAACCAUGUUCUUCAAGGUUAUUCAUGGUGGUUUUGUUCCAAAUGCCUCGAGAACACGACCCAUACUCCAAGCAUAAACGAGCCUUGCACAUCACUAGGUCAGCCCUGCAUUCAAUUUAUCACAAAUUCACAUUAUAAAUAGAACUCACACAUUAAUGCAUCAAACCACAACAAUCCAAUGCAUUCACAUACCAACAUUAAUAAUGCAUACAUGGGCAAUGCCUCAUAACAUUCAUUCACUUAGCAUCCAAACUGCAUAAAUUUCACAACACAUAGAAAACUCAUCUAACAAUCAAGCAAGGCAUCCCUUAACAGUAUAACAAAUCAAACAAUAAUGCAUUUCAACUACAAUAUUCAUAACAUAAUUAAUUUCAUCUAUCAUACCUAGUUAACUUCCAUUCAUUGCAAGCAUAUAUAACAGGGCCAAGCAUGCUAUUUUAAUCAAGCUGAACAUCUAAAUCGACCUUCAUUAUGCAAACAAUUCAAUAACAAAUUCAUGCAUUCUAAGUAUUCAAAGCUAUCAUCAUUCACAUCAACAUUUCAGACCAGCUAGUAUUAAGCUCAUGGCAUACAUUCAAGCAUCACUAACUAUUACAUUCAUAAUAUGAUUUAACAAUAGUGCAUCACACUCAUUUCACAACCAUGCUAAGCAUCAUUCACAAUAGAAAUAGAACAAAACAGGAAGUUCACUAACAGGGCCAACUAUCAUGUAGUAGCAGGCCAAAAUUGAGUUAACAACAAAGCAUUCAUUUUGUAGCCAAGCAGUCAUUCAAGAAACAACAAAAAAUAUAACCAAGUUCAUUACAAAAUUUCACUAAUAAUUUAGCAUAUCAUCCACAUUCACCAACAAAUAAAACUAAUUGCAUACAUUCAGAGUUAACAUUCAAGCAUUAUUAACAACAACCUUAAAGUAAUUUCACCAACCAAUCGAUUUCAGCAUUCACUUAACAACGAUUCUAACAAUAAUACAUCUAACUGAAAUACAAUAGAUCCAACAUAAUUUCACUAACAUCAAUAACACAACUAACGGAAAUCGAAAUCCAAAGCUCAAUUAACAAAAUUUCUGUUAAAACUAACUAUAAAUGUUUUCAUUUCCACUUCUCUCAACCAUAACUAACUUUCUUCAAUCCCUAGACUGACGUAACUCUUGCCCUAACAAAGCAUAACCACCUGACCAAGUCAGUUAACAAACCACCUCUAUAAAGCCUCAUCAUCUCCAAUCAUCACCCUCUCUCGAUUAUCAUUCAUUAAAUUAACUAGAAAUCAUUCAUUCAUAUUUCUCACUCCCAAUCAUUUUCCCCACUCUCUCUCAUUGCCUCACUCUCGAAACCAUAAUCUCAAAAUCAAUCACAACCUCACUCUCCCUCAACCUCUCAGAAGGCACGAAUAUAGAACAUCACCAAAAGUCAACAUAAGAAGAGCAGGAGAAGAUGAAGAUUUGGAAUUCAAAAGCAAGAAAUAGGCUCGGUAAGAAGUCACCGAAAUUUCACCAUCGUCUUCAUCUUCUCCGACAGGGUAAGUCUUCAAUUUCAUCUUCUUGCUUCAAACCAAUUAUGGAGAUAUGAUUUGAGUUGUAGGGAAUCAAAGCCCCAACCCCUUGGGCUUUUAUUCCAUGAGGUGGUGAUUUAAUUUCAAUUUUGGUACCUAGGGUUCUUGAGACAAAUUGAUUCUGUUUAAGCUUUUGAUUACAAAUUAGGUGAAAUUGAGGAUGGUUACGAGAAAUAGACGAAGGGAAUGAUGUUUCAAUUUCAUGGAUUAGCUCUCUGCCACCGCCGAAGGUGACCUCCCCAUGGCGGAGGAUGGUGCUUCUCAGGCCAGGUGAAGUUUGAGAUAUUGUAUUUUGUUUUGAGCAUUUUGGAUUUGUUUGAAUAUGAGUUGAUGAACUCUCCUUCCCUCUCUCGCUCGUGUAUGUGGAUUCUCCUCACCCUUAUGCCCAUUUUAUUACCUUAUGCACCUGAACACUGCUUACAUACCCCCCUGAAUUCAAGGAAAAAACCACUUAGGCCUUGAUUCAAUGGGCAUGUGCCCUAACUGAUUUGACACCUAUUUCCAGUCUCAGUCCUCCCUGCCAUGUUUGGGAUUUUUAAUCUUAUUUGUUUUUUUUUCUUUUGUUAAUAUAGUUUCUUUUCUUUUAAUUGUUAGAAUGCAUUCUUUUUGACAUAAAAUACUUAGAGAUUAACAUGUUUAAUGUUUGAUCCAUUAAGUUUAAUUGAUUUCUUUUAAUCACUAUUUAAAUUACCUUGA
rnacentral:lncRNA from 1 species